GCCGGCAUAGCUCAGUUGGUAGAGCAACUGAUUUGUAAUCAGUAGGUCGUCGGUUCGAAUCCGUCUGCCGGCU
rnacentral:tRNA from 1 species